rnacentral:rRNA from 1 species
GACGAACGCUGGCGGCGUGCUUAACACAUGCAAGUCGAACGGAAAGGCCCUGCUUUUGUGGGGUGCUCGAGUGGCGAACGGGUGAGUAACACGUGAGUAACCUGCCCUUGACUUUGGGAUAACUUCAGGAAACUGGGGCUAAUACCGGAUAGGAGCUCCUGCUGCAUGGUGGGGGUUGGAAAGUUUCGGCGGUUGGGGAUGGACUCGCGGCUUAUCAGCUUGUUGGUGGGGUAGUGGCUUACCAAGGCUUUGACGGGUAGCCGGCCUGAGAGGGUGACCGGCCACAAUGGGACUGAGAUACGGCCCAGACUCCUACGGGAGGCAGCAGUGGGGAAUAUUGCACAAUGGGCGGAAGCCUGAUGCAGCAACGCCGCGUGCGGGAUAACGGCCUUCGGGUUGUAAACCGCUUUCGCCUGUGACGAAGCGUGAGUGACGGUAAUGGGUAAAGAAGCACCGGCUAACUACGUG